AAAAGAAACUACAAGGGAUUCCCCUAGUAACUGCGAGUGAAGCGGGAAAAGCUCAAAUUUGAAAUCUGGCGGCUCUGCCGUCCGAGUUGUAUUCUGGAGAAGCGUCUUCUGUGCCGGACCGUGUACAAGUCCCUUGGAACAGGGCGUCAUAGAGGGUGAGAAUCCCGUCUUCGACACGGACCCCCGGCGCUAUGUGAUGCGCUCUCGAAGAGUCGAGUUGUUUGGGAAUGCAGCUCAAAAUGGGUGGUAAAUUCCAUCUAAAGCUAAAUAUUGGCGAGAGACCGAUAGCGAACAAGUACCGUGAGGGAAAGAUGAAAAGCACUUUGGAAAGAGAGUAAAACAGUACGUGAAAUUGUUGAAAGGGAAACGCUUGAAGUCAGUCGCGUCUGACGGAACUCAGCCUUGCUUCUGCUUGGUGCACUUUCCGUCCUGACGGGCCAGCAUCGGUUUUGGGCGGCGGACACUGGCGUGGGGAAGGUGGCAGCUCCGGCUGUGUUAUAGCCCCUCGUCGCAAACGUCGUCUGGGACCGAGGAAUCCGGCACGCGCCCGGGGACUCGGGCGCGAGCCUGGGAUGUUGGCGUAAUGGCUUUAAACGACCCGUCUUGAAACACGGACCAAGGAGUGCUACGUGCUCGCGAGUGUUCGGGUGGAAAACCCGAGCGCGCAAUGAAAGUGAAAGUCGGUACCCCUCGCGGGGGCAACGACGCCCGAGCCUGAUGUUUUCGGACGGCCUUGCGGUAGAGCGAGCGUGUUGCGACCCGAAAGAUGGUGAACUAUUCCUGAGGAGGGCGAAGCCAGAGGAAACUCUGGUGGAGGCUCGUAGCGGUUCUGACGUGCAAAUCGAUCGCAGGACUUGGGUAUAGGGGCGAAAGACUAAUCGAACCAUCUAGUAGCUGGUUCCUGC
rnacentral:rRNA from 1 species